CCUACGGGUGGCAGCAGUGGGGAAUAUUGCACAAUGGGGGAAACCCUGAUGCAGCGACGCCGCGUGAGUGAAGAAGUAUUUCGGUAUGUAAAGCUCUAUCAGCAGGGAAGAAGAAAGACGGUACCUGACUAAGAAGCCCCGGCUAACUACGUGCCAGCAGCCGCGGUAAUACGUAGGGGGCAAGCGUUAUCCGGAUUUACUGGGUGUAAAGGGAGCGUAGACGGCUGUGCAAGUCUGAAGUGAAAGGCCAGGGCUCAACCCUGGGACUGCUUUGGAACCUGUGGAGCUAGAGUGCUGGGGAGGUAAGUGGAAUUCCUAGUGUAGCGGUGAAAUGCGUAGAUAUUAGGAGGAACACCAGUGGCGAAGGCAGCUUACUGGACAGUAACUGACGUUGAGGCUCGAAAGCGUGGGGAGCGAACAGGAUUAGAUACCCUUGUAGUC
rnacentral:rRNA from 1 species